CCACAUAUAUUAUCUCUAAUGCAUUAGUCUCUCGGGCUAAUGAAUUUUUCAAUGUCCCAGAUGAGAGAUAUAUGUUUGUUUGGUCAAUUAAUAGGAAAACUAUUAUACAAGAUGUUGAUGAUGAUCAACAAUUGGAUUUGCAACCUUCUUCUGACAUGGAUACAAAACCAUUUGGACAAUUGUAUGCCUACAAAUCUAAAAGACAACCAAUCAAUAUCAUUGGAGUUGUGAUUUCUAAACUACCAAGAGAAUUUAUUGUCACCAACAGUACAUGACAAC